GUAAUUUAGGCCUAUUUUAUUCCAUUUUUUAAGCACCUAUUGUUUAUUGUUGUUACUGUUGUAAAUAACUAUUUUAAUACAUAGCUAGGAUAUUGUGUAACAAUAAUAGGUCUGUAAUAAAGCAUUGCGUGUUUUAUGUGCUGCUAAUGCACAGCUAGACCUUUUCAAAUCAAUGCAUUUUUAAUAGGCUACAUAGGCUAUCAGGUAUAAUAUCUACAUACAGAACAUUAGUUUAAAAACAUGUUAGUUCUGUUCUGUUCCCACUGGGUAGGCAAGUUUCCUAAUGAGCGUUUCGUGACCUUUGUAAAUGAGCAUGAUUAUUGAUUUUCUUCAUUUAUCUGCAGAAAAAAGGCAUAAGGACGACGCCUUUUCCAUCUGUUGUUUAAGAAGAAAGAAGAAAGCUUUUAUCUGGCUUUGGCCACAUACUGAACUCUGUCACCGCUUCUGCGGCUUACGGAGGACAAGAGGCGGUAAAGCAGCCUCGGAUGUCAGUGAAAGGUGCUCCAGCCCGGCUCCCAUCUUCACCUGGUGAGAUCCGAUCCAAUAAUAGCCGUUGUGUGUGUUAGGCUUUAAUGAGGGCUCAUCGACCCCCACCUGCCCAGCAGUCCAGAUGAAUGCCAAAACGCACUCAGCAGCAUCAUUUCUCCGCUCUCUUUUAUGUUAUGAGGUAUUAUGUUUCGCUUACAAUAACCACUUAUGUUCUCUCGUCGCUUUGAUCCCGGUGAGACAGUGAAGGACGACGCGAAAGAUAAACGCAACACACAUUCAAAGAGCAAAAGAACCUGUCAAGUUAGGAAAACUUUAGCGCGAUCUCGGAAGUAAAGUAAUAGGCUACAGUAUUGUAGAAAUAGUAAACCUUUUUUUUUCGAUCAUAAAUAAACCAACAUACAUAGACCUACAUACAGAAUAAUUAAAAGCUAUUAAUUUCAUAUAUUCGUAAUUCAGUUAUAGCCCAAAACAGAAAUGUACACAGUGUGGAAUGCAGCACACGCGUAUAUUGAACAAUUACUUUAGCUAAUGUAUUCCAUUAAUGUAUCCAGAAUAUAUAUUAAUAUAUAUAAACUGUACAUCAUUUG
rnacentral:lncRNA from 1 species